rnacentral:RNase_P_RNA from 1 species
GAAAGUGCCACAGUGACGUAGCUUUUAUAGAAAUAUAAAAGGUGGAACGCGGUAAACCCCUCGAGUGAGCAAUCCAAAUUUGGUAGGAGCACUUGUUUAGCGGAAUUCAACGUAUAAACGAGACGACUUUCACACGAGCGUGAAAGUAUGUAGACAGAUGGUUACCACCGACGUACCAGUGUAACUAGUACACGUGAUGAGUACAACGGUACAGAACAUGGCUUACAGAA